rnacentral:rRNA from 1 species
UACGUAGGGGGCAAGCGUUGUCCGGAAUUAUUGGGCGUAAAGCGCGUGUAGGCGGUCCGGUAAGUCGGCUGUGAAAGUCCAGGGCUCAACCCUGGGAUGCCGGUCGAUACUGCCGGACUAGAGUUCGGAAGAGGCGAGUGGAAUUCCAGGUGUAGCGGUGAAAUGCGUAGAUAUCUGGAGGAACACCGGUGGCGAAGGCGGCGUCCUGGACCAACACUGACACUGAUGAGCGAAAGCCAGGGGAGCAAACGGG